rnacentral:rRNA from 1 species
UACGAAGGGGGCUAGCGUUGUUCGGAAUCACUGGGCGUAAAGCGCACGCAAGCGGAUCGAUAAGUCGGGGGUGAAAGCCCGGGGCGCAACCUCGGAAUUGCCUUCGAUAAUGUCGGUCUCGAGUGCGGGAGAGGUGAGUGGAAUUCCUAGUGUAGAGGUGAAAUUCGUAGAUAUUAGGAAGAACACCAGUGGCGAAGGCGGCUCACUGGCCCGGUACUGGCGCUCAGGUGCGAAAGCGUGGGGAGCAAACAGG